GGAGACUUUCCCCCAGCCACCCCCCACCCCUUUUUCUCCACGACUGCACUUUGGAAGAGGUGCAGUCAUUCCUCCCCACACCCCCUACCCUCUCUCCACUCCCCCAACUAUAAAUUCCCUCUGUAGCAUGCUGCCCUUUUUUAAUCCACAUUUGUGUUUCAGAUCAUGUAGAAAGGACAGAAAGUGAGCAGGGAGCGGGGGCUUUUGUCUAUCCUUGUGCUACCUGAGAGAAACUGCAAUCCUAAGACUUAACAGAAUCUAAAAAUGCAUCCAUUUAUAAAAACAAACUUUUUGAAGUUAAGGAAAUUUGCCAUACAAUGAUGGAUGUACCUUGAAAGUCUCCGUAUGUUGAAUCUUUGCUUUUCUUGCAAUUUUUGAAUAAAAAUCUGAAAUCUCUCUUUGUGUAGUAAGGCUUAUUUAAUUGCAAAACUGCAUGCUUAGGUGACUGUGAAAAAUACACAUCAGAACACUUUUAGGAAAACAUUCAGGCAAAACAGUAUCCAGUAAUUUCAUUCUCCCUCCCCCCAAAAGAAAAAAAAAGAAAUAGAUCAGUGUAAUUAGUAAAUGAAGUAGAUUUAAUAUUACUCUGUCAGGGAAGUACAUAAGAUGCAAACAGGUUUUUCUUAUUAUUUGGUAGUUUUUCAUGAAUUAUAGCUUUUCUUAGUGAUACAAAUCUGUUUCAGAAAAAAAAAAGGAAAGAAAAAGGCUAGGCCUCAGCCUAACUGAACUUGCAAGCACUUGGAAUAUAUUUAAUAAAGAGUGUUCAAGAAUUGUCCAUUUUCUUCAGUGCUAAUUGUGCUUAUAUUUUUUACUGAGUACAGCCCAUAUGUAUUACUGCUGGCAUGUAUUAAUUUUGAGAAUGAAACAGAUUAUGCACCUAAACAUUCUCUAAAUAUGGCGUUCCCUGGAAUGUUUGAGGGUCAGCAAGACAAAGACAGUUCUUUACUGAGGAAGUAGUAAAGUAGGCAUAAUUUAAUUAAAUGAUCUGUAGUCAUCCGGAAUUCUUGAUUGAAGACCCAACUAUUCCUGAAUGCGUGUGUGAACAUAAGUAGGAUUUAUUUUGAUCGCUAAUAGUGUGCAGUGUUAUCAUAGACAAAAGUGUGUUAAUGUAUAAGGGGCAAUACCUUCCCUAAAUUAGCAUUGAGUAAAUAUUAGAAUGACCACAAAUUACUUUCUAUAUGUGAUGGAAAAUAAUGUGUGAUAUUUUCAAGGACACACUACUAUGAAAAUUGGGUUAAAUUAAUUGCAUUAAUUAUAUUACACUUGUGUGGGCCUUUGAAGUUGUUUUGAUGUGGAGGAGGAAGGAUGAAGCAAAGGGCGUUUAAAAUACAAUAUGUCAUCUGUAGUAAGGUUUUUUUCUUUAAGGCUCCUUAUUUCAUAUCAUUCCCAUCUGCAAAAAUAAACUUGCAAAUUCUGGAGUUUUAAUCUAUUCUGGAACCUACUUUCAUCAAAGUGCUUUGCUCAUCUGUACAUAAAUGAAUAGUUGGGGGUGAGGAAUUAUAAGGGAAAUGAUUCACUUAAGCUGUGAAUAGAAAUCGUGUUAAAAUACAUUCUGUUCACACAACUGUGGAAUACUGGAUAAGGAAACUGUUUUUCUACCAACACCAAGGUGACAAUCAGCCCACAUUUUGAGAUGGUAUGCGGGCUGUUAAGUGCAAUAUAAGCCUAUCUCUGGAACAAAAGACUAUUUUAAGUUUUGUUAGGCAUAAAAUAGCCUUUGGUUUUUACCAGCAGAUGGUCCUAUAAAUCUAGCAAGGUUCCUGUGGUAGUCAGAAAAAUCAGUUUUGUGAAAACAAUCUCCAUGUCAGAACAUAAUAUACAAGUUAGAACUAUCCAAAUACAGAAAGUAGUAUGUAAUUACCCACUUGUUCACUGAGGUGGGUAUGCACCUUUUGUUUUUGCAAUGUAACAUAAAUCAAAAUCUGAUUUGUCUGUUUUUGAAAAGUUCUGUAUUUGUUACGAAAAUUCUUAAUUCCACUCAUUUGUGAUUGUUUCAGAAUUUCAAUGUAAGGAAGAUGAGUUUUUGCUCCAACUUAGAAGGUUGCCUAAGAUGUGAUAUUUGUCAGGAUCUCUUUGCCUACUGACACCAUUUUCCUCCCUUUCUUUCUCCCUUUCUUUCUCCCUUUCUUUCUCCCUUUCUUUCUCCCUUUCUUUCUC